rnacentral:rRNA from 1 species
GGCCAAGUUUUUAAGGGCGCACGGUGGAUGCCUUGGCACCAGGAACCGAUGAAGGACGUGGGAGGCCGCGAUAGGCCCCGGGGAGCUGUCAACCGAGCUUUGAUCCGGGGGUGUCCGAAUGGGGAAACCCGGCAGUCGUCAUGGGCUGUCACCCGCUGCUGAACACAUAGGCAGUGUGGAGGGAACGCGGGGAAGUGAAACAUCUCAGUACCCGCAGGAAGAGAAAACAACCGUGAUUCCGGGAGUAGUGGCGAGCGAAACUGGAUGAGGC